ensembl:lncRNA
CUGCGAGGCUCUGCACCGCCGUGUCCCGGGCUCAGCGCGCUGCCGGUGGAGCCGGGCUGCUCGUCUCAGGUGCACGGCCGGCUCCCAGGCGUCCCGGUCCUUCCGAGAGGAGCUGGGCAGGGAGCCCUCGAUGCCAGAAACCGACUGAUUUGCUGCUUGUAUAGAGAGAAAAGAAGCAUUCUUCUGCCCAAGGCACUUAUCUGGAACACGGGACCUUGCACGCCGGGGGCUUUAUUUCACCUCUGGGGUCUGUAUCGACCACCUCAGUGGCACAGGUGUUUCCUUCCUUUCUGCUGGGCUCCAGUCCAAAGGAACUUGUGCGGAAAGGAACUUGUGAGGUUCAGAGACACGAAUGUAAGAUGGGGUUCUCCUUACAUACAUCAUCUGCCACACAGCCACAAAUAAGGCUGACCUGCUCCUCCAGGCUGGAUUCGCCAGGUCCUAAAUGUCUCAGUAAGUGACACUGUAGUCAAGCCAGUUUCACAGACAGAUUGUGGAAAGCUGUCCCCCUGUCCCAACCAUGAGGUCCAAGUCUCAGGGAUCAGCUGCACCAGUAGACCAACCCACAGGGAGCUGGCUUCACCAGCAAAAAGGGAUGGGAUGGGAUGGGAUGGGAUGGGAUGGGAUGGGAUGGGAUGGGAUGGGAUAGGAUAGGAUAGGAUAGGAUAGGAUAGGAUAGGAUAGGAUAGGAUAGGAUAGGAUAGGAUAGGAUAGGAUAGGAUAGGAUAGGAUAGGAUAGGAUAGGAUAGGAUACGAUAGGAUACGAUAGGAUACGAUAGGAUAGGAUAGGAUAUAAAUAUUUUUUCUUCACUAGCUCUUCCUAAACCAACUCAGCUGGGAUCUCAGAGGUACCCAUACUGGAAGGGAGGUGGCAGAUGGAGGCACAGAAUGGCUCCUUCCAAAAUCAGUGUGACACUGGGUUGUGUGUUGCAUGGAUACAGCAGAAGUAGUCUGGACUUUCUUAGAAUUAUGGAAUCAUAGAAUCAUUACUGUUGGAAAAGACCUCUAAGAUUAUCCAGUCCAACCAUGCGACCCAUCCCCACCAUGCUCACUAAACAAUGUCCGUCAGUGCCACAUCUACACAGUUCUUGAUCACCUCUGGGAAUGAUGAACCCACCACUUCCCUGGGCAGCCUAUGCCAGUGCAUCACCACUCCUUCAGGGGAUAAAAAAAUUCCUGAUAUCCAACCUCAACCUCUCCUGGUGCAACCUGAGGCCAUUAGCUCUCAUCUAAUCAAUCAAUCAACCAAUGGCAUCCCUCCUUUUCACCUUCACAGACCUGACAGCAGGCUGUUGCAAAAAGAUGAUCCUGCCUGCGACCCGUGAGCGUGUUCUCUGCUGAACCUGGUACCCAUCUGACUCCAACCAGCUGGUCAAUCCGCUGGAAAAAUUACACUUCAGAAAAUAAUGAGUUUUCCAUUGGCCGGAGCUGAAUUGAUCCACCUUGUGACCACACAGCUGCAGGAUCGAGGCAAGCAGCAACCUGCGAGUGAGGGAAAGCAGAAGUACUCCUUUCAGCAGCCAUCUGUCAUUAAAGAGCUCUGUUGCAUCUCGUGCGUGCGACUUUGCGAGCAGUGCAAAGCGCUGAGCCAGGUCCUGCUGGAAGGGCAGGGUCUGUGCAGCCACAUGCUGCUGCCACCUCCUUCCUGCUUGUACCAACGGGCACUGGCCAUAGCACGAGCCAAAGCAGGGAACUAAUCCAUCUGAAAGGUAACUGUAAAGCAUUUUCAGCCAUUUUACCUGCCUGCUAUGGCCCAUCACACGAGACCUAUUGCUGAUAUAAAAGACAGAAACAGGGCAGGAGUGUACUCUUCAGUGUCAGACCUAACUUGGAUGAUGUGUUCCUUAGACACCCCAAGCCUCGUGAGAUUAUGCCAUAAGCAUGUUUUAGCUGAGGCUGUGCUGCACAAUCAGUUACGAGGAACACGAAGAGCUGUUCUGUGCAAUGCCUCAUGUCCCAAACAUUUCUAUUAUUUCCUUCGACUUGUGCUCUCCAACUGCCCUGCAAUGUGUUUUUGACAGCUGUGUUGCCUGGCAGCCACUCUGUCACAGCUCAGGAUGCAAUUAUGAAGAGAGAUGUAUCUGCACCUAAAAGAAUAAUGGAUCCUUCGUGUGUAGGAUCUACGAAAGGCCCGUGGUCUUUGGCUGAGUCUUUAGACACUGCUACAGUGCAAAUAACAAUAAGGAGAAGAGGAGAAGAGACCAAAACCAGGUCUGGCCAUGAAGUAUUUGACAAAAUAGAGUUUCAUUUGAAAAAAAAAUAAAUAAAUAAGAAAAACAAAGCCAGUAUGUUGUACACAAAAUGUUGUUCUCAAAGUACCUUGAUUUCAGUGAACUCUUGCUGAAUCUAGAGCAGGUCACUGGGAGAGCUGGCCUGCAUCAGGCUCAGCAGGCUUGGUCCCAGAUAACUACAGAUUUCCAGCCCCUCGCUGACAUCAGCAGUAGCACAAAAGGAAUUUCAGUUCCAUCUGCAGGCGCACUGGAAAUUCCAGUUCUCCAGAAGGCUGAAACACUUAAUUUGGUGGAACAUACACCAAAAUCAAGGACAUAUGCUCUACAGUGCUUCUACUUGGAAGUCUGGGUUUGGAUAUACCUCCUAGAGUCAGGCCCAAACAGAGUUUUGUUCUCUCACUUUCAAAAGACUUCAUAUAAAUAUAGGACCGUGUAUGUUUAAAUCAAUACAGGAUGGACUCUGGAGAGCUAAGCAAAUCUACUGAAGCUUAACAGAUGCGGGGCCUGAGAGUGUCUGAUUUUUUUGGGGGAGGGGGAUGUUUGUUUUUCUUUCAGCUAACACAUUCAAAAGAAAUCCUUUGAAAACAAUACAAGCCAUUUCAUGCCUGUAUGUACUUAAUAUCAGUUUUUCAGUGGAUGAUUACAAAAAGAAUUACACGGAAUCAGAGAGUUUGUUGCAAAACAUAAUAAAUACUUAUUUUGGACUGCAAAUAUCGUGAGUUCCUGACUCGGUCACAACUAACAGUGGG